CUCCACCACCCGCCCGCUAGCUCCUCUCGAGAGGGCGGCCCUGGAGCGAGCGCGCACGCGCACAGCCGCCAUCACGGCCCCAGAGACCCACCAAUGGCGCGAAUCCGCCAGGGAGGCGGGGCGGUAGGGGCGGGGCCGAGAGGACCGGAGAGGAGCAGAGAGGCGUGCAUUGGACUAUCAACGUGAGGAGGCGGGAAAAGGCGUGUGUUUCCGAAGGAGACUAGCCAAUGGCAGCUCGGGCCUGACCUUGGUCGGCUGGCGCUGGCGCCCAGGAUCCUAAAGGUGGCAGAGACUUGGAAGAGAUUCCAGAGACCAGAGUAGCACUCUUGAGAAUGCUGCAUCAUCAACACCUGUGAUAACAGAGUAUGCUAGCAUAUGGAAAAACAGCAGUAUUAGCAACUGUGAGAAACUAAAUGUGGAGAAAUACUAAGAAUGUCUUAAUUUAUUUUGUAUUUUUAUGUAUGCACGGAGUAAUAUGCAACACAAAUAUUUUAAAGAAACUAAAAUUUCUUUCAACAAUUGCAAAAUAGAAAUUCUAAAUGAUAAAGUAUUAUGUGACCAUUUAA